UGAGGAACAUAAUCAAGAUGCUUAUGGAUUUAGGUUCAUUGGUUUACCAAGAGGACUUUGAGAAGCCGUUUCUUGAGGUUUCUGCUGAGUUCUAUAAGGUUGAAUCACAGGAGUUCAUUGAAUGCUGUGACUGUGGUGAGUAUUUGAAGAAAGCUGAGAAACGUUUGAAUGAAGAGAUAGAGCGAGUGACACACUACUUGGAUGCAAAGAGUGAAGUCAAGAUAACUAACGUGGUUGAGAAGGAAAUGAUUGCUAACCACAUGUUGAGUUUAGUUCACAUGGAGAAUUCAGGCCUGGUAAAUAU
rnacentral:misc_RNA from 1 species